GUGGGGAAUUUUGGACAAUGGGCGCAAGCCUGAUCCAGCAAUGCCGCGUGUGUGAAGAAGGCCUUCGGGUUGUAAAGCACUUUUGGCAGGAAAGAAAUAGCGCGUGCUAAUACCAUGCGCGAAUGACGGUACCUGCAGAAUAAGCACCGGCUAACUACGUGCCAGCAGCCGCGGUAAGACGUAGGGUGCAAGCGUUAAUCGGAAUUACUGGGCGUAAAGCGUGCGCAGGCGGUUUUGUAAGACAGGUGUGAAAUCCCCGGGCUCAACCUGGGAACUGCACUUGUGACUGCAAGGCUAGAGUGUGUCAGAGGGAGGCGGAAUUCCGCGUGUAGCAGUGAAAUGCGUAGAGAUGCGGAGGAACACCGAUGGCGAAGGCAGCCUCCUGGGAUAACACUGACGCUCAGGCACGAAAGCGUGGGGAGCAAACAGGAUUAGAUACCCGAGUAGUCC
rnacentral:rRNA from 1 species